AGCAGCCGCGGUAAUUCCAGCUCCAAUAGCGUAUAUUUAAGUUGUUGCAGUUAAAAAGCUCGUAGUUGAAUUUCGGGAUUGGCGCAUCGGUCGUGCCUCACGGGGUAUGAACUGGUGCAGUCAAUUUCUCACCUUCUGGAGAACCGCGAUGUCCUUAAUUGGAUGCCGCGGGGAACCAGGACCUUUACUUUGAAAAAAUUGAGUGUUUAAAGCAGGCAUUUUUGCUUGAAUACAUUAGCAUGGAAUAAUAAAAUAGGACGGCAUGGUUCUAUUUUGUUGGUUUCUAGGACCACCGUAAUGAUUAAUAGGGAUAGUUGGGGGCAUUAGUAUUCAAUUGUCAGAGGUGAAAUUCUUGGAUUUAUUGAAGACUAACUACUGCGAAAGCAUUUGCCAAGGAUGUUUUCAUUAAUCAAGAACGAAAGUUAGGGAUCGAAGACGAUCAGAUACCGU
rnacentral:rRNA from 1 species